UACGGAGGGGGUUAGCGUUGUUCGGAAUUACUGGGCGUAAAGCGCACGUAGGCGGAUUGGAAAGUUGGGGGUGAAUCCCCAGGGCUCAACCCCUGGAACUGCCUCCAAAACUCCCAGUCUGGAGUUCGAGAGUAGGUCGAGUGGAAGUUCCGAGUGUAGAGGUGAAAUUCGUAGAUAUUCGGAGGAACGACCAGUGGCGAAGGCGGCUCACUGGCUCGAUACUGACGCUGAGGUGCGAAAGUGUGGGGGAGCAAACAGGGAAUUUAGAUACCCCCGGGUAGU
rnacentral:rRNA from 1 species